CAGUAGCGUAUAUUAAAGUUGUUGCAGUUAAAAUGCUCGUAGUUGAAGUUCGGAUGCGGCAGAGCUUGGAAACGCUGUUAUGGUGCUUCCGUUGCUUUUGCUUGUCCACAGUGCGUUGCAAGUACGUAUGUGCUUGUGCGUGCAUUUUACUUUGAGAAACAUAGGGUGUUCCACGCAUGUUACGGCAUGAAUAUUCCAGCAUGGGAUAAUCUGGUACGACUUCCAAUCUGCCAUUUUGGUUCGUAGGUUGGAAGUAAUGAUUAAUAGGGACUGUCGGGGGCAUUGGUAUUUGACUGUCAGAGGUGAAAUUCUUAGAUUCGUUGAGGACCAACCACUGCGAAAGCAUUUGUCAAGGAUGUCUCCAUUAG
rnacentral:rRNA from 1 species